UUUGUAAGAUAUAUGGACUUAUAUCUACAUACAUAUGAACAAUAUAUGGAUAAAUUAUAUGUUAUGUGCUAUGUUUUGGUUUGGCCUAAUUUUGUGGUCUUAUGGACAUUAUGUUAAGGGGGCCAAUGUGUUGUCAUAUAAAGUGUUGGACUAAUGUGUAGAUACCCAAAAGGGUAACCUUAGUUAAUGAUGGGCUAACUAAGGUUACAUAUAUGUAACCAUGGUUACAUGCUUGUGACUCUUGNNN
rnacentral:lncRNA from 1 species